rnacentral:rRNA from 1 species
AGAGUUUGAUCCUGGCUCAGGAUGAACGCUGGCGGUAUGCUUAACACAUGCAAGUCGAACGGGAUCUUAGGAUCUAGUGGCGGACGGGUGAGUAACGCGUGAGAAUCUGGCUUCAGGUCGGGGACAACAGUUGGAAACGACUGCUAAUACCGGAUGUGCCGAAAGGUGAAAGAUUUAUUGCCUGAAGAUGAGCUCGCGUCUGAUUAGCUAGUUGGUAGUGUAAGAGACUACCAAGGCGACGAUCAGUAGCUGGUCUGAGAGGAUGAUCAGCCACACUGGGACUGAGACACGGCCCAGACUCCUACGGGAGGCAGCAGUGGGGAAUUUUCCGCAAUGGGCGAAAGCCUGACGGAGCAAUACCGCGUGAGGGAGGAAGGCUCUUGGGUCGUAAACCUCUUUUCUCAGGGAGGAAAAAAAUGACGGUACCUGAGGAAUAAGCAUCGGCUAACUCCGUGCCAGCAGCCGCGGUAAUACGGAGGAUGCAAGCGUUAUCCGGAAUGAUUGGGCGUAAAGGGUCCGCAGGUGGAACUGAAAGUCUGCUGUUAAAGAAUCUGGCUCAACCAGAUAAAAGCAGUGGAAACUACAGAACUAGAGUACGUUCGGGGCAGAAGGAAUUCCUAGUGUAGCGGUGAAAUGCGUAGAUAUUAGGAAGAACACCGGUGGCGAAAGCGUUCUGCUAGGCCGUAACUGACACUGAGGGACGAAAGCUAGGGGAGCGAAUGGGAUUAGAUACCCCAGUAGUCCUAGCUGUAAACGAUGGAUACUAGGCGUGGCCUGUAUCAACCCGAGCCGUGCCGUAGCUAACGCGUUAAGUAUCCCGCCUGGGGAGUACGCACGCAAGUGUGAAACUCAAAGGAAUUGACGGGGGCCCGCACAAGCGGUGGAGUAUGUGGUUUAAUUCGAUGCAACGCGAAGAACCUUACCAAGGCUUGACAUCCUGCGAAUCUUUCUGAAAGGAGAGAGUGCCUUCGGGAGCGCAGAGACAGGUGGUGCAUGGCUGUCGUCAGCUCGUGUCGUGAGAUGUUGGGUUAAGUCCCGCAACGAGCGCAACCCUCGUUUUUAGUUGCCAGCAUUAAGUUGGGCACUCUAGAGAGACUGCCGGUGACAAACCGGAGGAAGGUGAGGAUGACGUCAAGUCAGCAUGCCCCUUACGCCUUGGGCUACACACGUACUACAAUGCUACGGACAAAGGGCAGCUACACAGCGAUGUGAUGCAAAUCUCAUAAACCGUAGCUCAGUUCAGAUCGAAGGCUGCAACUCGCCUUCGUGAAGGAGGAAUCGCUAGUAAUUGCAGGUCAGCAUACUGCAGUGAAUUCGUUCCCGGGCCUUGUACACACCGCCCGUCACACCAUGGAAGUUGGUCACGCCCGAAGUCAUUACCCCAACCGAAAGGAGGGGGAUGCCGAAGGUAGGACUGGUGACUGGGGUGAAGUCGUAACAAGGUA